rnacentral:rRNA from 1 species
GGCGGCGUGCUUAACACAUGCAAGUCGAACGGGGAUCAUAUGGAUGAGAGCUUCGGCAGGAAUCCGAAUGAUUCGAGUGGCGACGGGUGAGUAACGCGUGAGCAACCUGUCCCAGACAGGGGGAUAACACUUGGAAACAGGUGCUAAUACCGCAUGAGACCACAGUAUCGCAUGGUACAGGGGUAAAAGGUGCAAACCGGUUUGGGGUGGGCUCGCGUCCGAUUAGAUAGUUGGUGAGGUAACGGCCCACCAAGUCGACGAUCGGUAGCCGACCUGAGAGGGUGAUCGGCCACAUUGGAACUGAGAGACGGUCCAAACUCCUACGGGAGGCAGCAGUGGGGAAUAUUGGGCAAUGGGCGAAAAAGCCUGACCCAGCAACGCCGCGUGAGUGAAGAAGGCUUUCGGGUUGUAAAGCUCUGUUAUAGGGGACGAAGGAAGUGACGGUACCCUAUAAGGAAGCCCCGGCUAACUACGUGCCAGCCGCCGC